UUGCUUGAGGUUGAAAUCUGGAGUCUCGUUUUUCUUGACAUAUUUAUUGUACAAAGUCUUCUUCCAAUUCUGGAAGAGUACUGCCAUCUUCUUCAUAGUCCAGUCAUAAAUUUGCACCUUCAACUCUUCAUCGUUGGUGUCGAAGGUGAAAACGUCUGUGACGGCUUUCCAAACUAACUCCCUGUCACGAUCAGAGACAAAACUGAUCUCAGGAGCACCUCGCUUCUCUCUCCAUUCACGAGCACUGAUCGGUAUUUGAUCUCUCACAAGAUAUCCACAGUGACUAACAUAUUUAUUUGUAUGCUCACCAAGUGGUCUGCCUGUAGCUAUCUCAAACUCAGAGAUUACAUAGCGGCCCUCCAACGGCUUCUUUGGCCCUCGUGGAGGUACGCUUCUGCCCGUAGAGGUC
rnacentral:lncRNA from 1 species